UCCCAGCAGUGGAGGUGUUUGAAGGG
rnacentral:piRNA from 1 species